UGGCAAUGAUGACAAAAAGGCCGGACUUACAACUGCUCUGGAUCCAUUUCAGCUGGUGGCAGGGUGAUGUGAAAUUUAUCAGAGUAUAUUCUGAGCUAG
rfam:Amborella trichopoda AMTR_V1.0_contig_41617, whole genome shotgun sequence.